AACUGCGAAUGGCUCAUUAAAUCAGUUAUCGUUUAUUUGAUAGUACCAUACUACUUGGAUAACCGUGGUAAUUCUAGAGCUAAUACAUGCUAAAAACCUCGACUUCGGAAGAGGUGUGUUUAUUAGAUUAAAGACCAAUGCCCUCCGGGGCUCACUGGUGAUUCAUAAUAACCUCUCGAAUCGCACGGCCCUGCGCCGGCGAUGGUUCAUUCAAAUUUCUGCCCUAUCAACUUUCGACUUUAGUGUAGUGGACUAAAGUGGUUGCAACGGGUAACGGAGGGUUAGGGCUCGACCCCGGAGAAGGAGCCUGAGAAACGGCUACUACAUCCAAGGAAGGCAGCAGGCGCGCAAAUUACCCAAUCCCGACACGGGGAGGUAGUGACAAUAAAUACUGAUACAGGGCUCUUUCGGGUCUUGUAAUUGGAAUGAGUACAAUUUAAAUCCCUUAACGAGGAACAAUUGGAGGGCAAGUCUGGUGCCAGCAGCCGCGGUAAUUCCAGCUCCAAUAGCGUAUAUUAAAGUUGUUGUGGUUAAAAAGCUCGUAGUUGAACCUGGGCCCCGCGCCCGCCGGUCCGCCUCACCGCGUGCACUGGCGCGGCCGGGGCUUUCACUUGGGGAACCGCAUGCCCUUCGCUGGGCGUGCGCGGAACCAGGACCUUUACUGUGAAAAAAUUAGAGUGUUCAAAGCAGGCCUAUGCUCGAAUACAUUAGCAUGGAAUAAUAGAAUAGGACGCGCGGUUCUAUUUUGUUGGUUAUGGGACCGCCGUAAUGAUUAAUAGGGCCAGUCGGGGGCAUCAGUAUUUCAAUAGUCAGAGGUGAAAUUCUUGGAAUUUAUUGAAGACUAACUUACUGCGAAAGCAUUUGCCAAGGAUGUUUUCAUUAAUCAGGAACGAAAGUUAGGGGAUCGAAGACGAUCAGAUACCGUCGUAGUCUUAACCAUAAACUAUGCCGACUAGGGAUCGGGCGAUGUUACAUUCUGACUCCGCUCGGCACCUUACGAGGAAUUAAAGUCUGUGGGU
rnacentral:rRNA from 1 species